UACGAAGGGGGCGAGCGUUGUUCGGAUUUACUGGGCGUAAAGCGUGCGUAGACGGUUACAUAAGUCGGGUGUGAAAGCCCCGGGCUCAACCUGGGAAUUGCAUUCGAUACUACCAAGCUGGAGUACUGAAGAGGAGAGCGGAAUUCCCGGUGUAGAGGUGAAAUUCGUAGAUAUCGGGAGGAACACCAGUGGCGAAGGCGGCUCUCUGGGCAGAUACUGACACUGAGACGCGAAAGCGUGGGGAGCAAACAGG
rnacentral:rRNA from 1 species